UACGUAGGGCGCGAGCGUUACUCGGAAUUACUGGGCGUAAAGCGUGCGCAGGCGGUUUGGUAAGACAGAUGUGAAAUUCCCGGGCUUAACCUGGGAACUGCAUUUGUGACUGCCAGGCUAGAGAGCGGCAGAGGGGAGUGGAAUUCCGCGUGUAGCAGUGAAAGGCGUAGAUAUGCGGAGGAACACCGAUGGCGAAGGCAACUCCCUGGGCCUGCACUGACGCUCAUGCACGAAAGCGUGGGGAGCAAACAGG
rnacentral:rRNA from 1 species